rnacentral:rRNA from 1 species
AGGGUUUGAUCAUGGCUCAGAUUGAACGCUGGCGGUAUGCUUAACACAUGCAAGUCGAACGGAAACGAUACUAGCUUGCUAGUAGGCGUCGAGUGGCGGACGGGUGAGUAACGCGUAGGAAUCUACCUAGUAGCGGGGGAUAGCCCGGAGAAAUCCGGAUUAAUACCGCAUAAUCUCUAUGGAGAAAAGGGGCCCUCUUCUUGAAAGGUUUCGCUAUUAGAUGAGCCUGCGUAAGAUUAGCCUGUUGGUGAGGUAAAAGCUCACCAAGGCGACGAUCUUUAGCUGGUCUGAGAGGAUGAUCAGCCACACUGGGACUGAGACACGGCCCAGAUUCCUACGGGAGGCAGCAGUGGGGAAUAUUGGACAAUGGGCGCAAGCCUGAUCCAGCAAUACCGCGUGUGUGAAGAAGGCCUGAGGGUUGUAAAGCACUUUCAAUUGUGAAGAAAAGUUAAAGGUUAAUACCCUUUAGCCUUGACGUUAACUUUAGAAGAAGCACCGGCUAACUCCGUGCCAGCAGCCGCGGUAAUACGGAGGGUGCAAGCGUUAAUCGGAAUUACUGGGCGUAAAGCGUGCGUAGGUGGUUUGUUAAGUCAGAUGUGAAAGCCCCGGGCUCAACCUGGGAACUGCAUUUGAAACUGGCAAACUAG